rnacentral:rRNA from 1 species
CUACGUAGGGUGCAAGCGUUAAUCGGAAUUACUGGGCGUAAAGCGUGCGCAGGCGGUUUUGUAAGACAGUGGUGAAAUCCCCGGGCUCAACCUGGGAACUGCCAUUGUGACUGCAAGGCUGGAGUGCGGCAGAGGGGGAUGGAAUUCCGCGUGUAGCAGUGAAAUGCGUAGAUAUGCGGAGGAACACCGAUGGCGAAGGCAAUCCCCUGGGCCUGCACUGACGCUCAUGCACGAAAGCGUGGGGAGCAAACAGGAUUAGAUACCCUGGUAGUCCACGCCCUAAACGAUGUCAACUGGUUGUUGGGGAUUUAUUUUCUCAGUAACGAAGCUAACGCGUUAAGUUGACCGCCUGGGGAGUACGGCCGCAAGGUUAAAACUCAAAGGAAUUGACGGGG